UACGUAGGGGGCUAGCGUUGUCCGGAAUCAUUGGGCGUAAAGAGCGUGUAGGCGGUCCGGUAAGUCCGCUGUGAAAGUCGGGGGCUCAACCCUCGAAUGCCGGUGGAUACUGUCGGGCUAGAGUGCGGAAGAGGCGAGUGGAAUUCCUGGUGUAGCGGUGAAAUGCGUAGAUAUCUGGAGGAACACCGGUGGCGAAGGCGGCAUCCUGGACCGAUACUGACGCUGAGGAGCGAAAAGCUAGGGGAGCAAACGGG
rnacentral:rRNA from 1 species